UGGUCCAGCUUCUGUCCAGUGCUGACCAAGACUUUGAGGGCUCUGCUGUGCUGCUCCCAAGUGACAUCUUUGUCUCUGUGUCUUGCUUUUCAGGAGGCUGUGCUGCAAUCAUACUGCUCUGCUCCAUGUGCCUCACACACUCCUGCUCAUCUCAGACUGCUGUAGUAAAUCAGGAGGAACCUCACCGGUAUCCGUGGCAUCAGCACAAAAGCAGUAAGAGCCACAGCCAGAGCAGCAGGGUGAUUCAUUGCCUUGCUAUUUGCAGGCUGGGCUUGCACGGCUGCUGUGGGUGCAGAGGGAAGGGAAUUGCUUGGCAUUACUCUUCCCCUGCAUGCCUCUAGUGCCAUCCUUUUAUCUGUCUUAAUGAGGAGGAUUAAUGUGUCAGGGGGAAGGAGAUGGGCUUACAGGAGUCACGCUGAAUUCCCAGCGCCUUGUACUUCCAUGGCUGUGGAUGGCGCACCCCAGUCGGUAAAACGCCACAGGCUCUUUCCACCCAGCCCUAAACAAUGUGUGUGUUAUCCGGACCCUUGCAGUGCUGACUGCAGGUGGGCCUGGGGAGAGGUCGGAGGCAGGAGAGCUGUGGCUGCCCCGGGAAACCACACCGGGCUGUGGAUGGAUCCCGGCCCCAGGACCCGCUCCAGCCCCGAGCGCCGGAGCUGCGGGACUCGGGAGGAGCAGCGGGAGAGGAUGAGGGAGCGCCGGGCUCCCACCUCGGCCUUCCUCCCUCACCUCUUCCUCUUUGUUUUCUUCCUGUUGCUCAGAGCAAGCUGCUGAGUCAGAGCAGCAGGAGCAGGAAAUUCUCUCUUUGGAGGGUGAGGGGAAUGGGACCCUGCACUUUGCACUUGCUGCCAUGGGGAGCCCAGUGGCCACUCUACUUGCCUGGAUCUGAGAAGAAUUCAUAAAAACUCCAAGCUGUGAUGGUCUGUUGAGCACUAGCAGCAGUAAAACACACAACUGCUGGAUCCCUGCCUCCCUCUUGGUGUCUCCCCUUCCCUGCAUCCCAGUCUGGAUGGGUCUCUGAGAUGCCAUGAGCACACGGUUCGGAAACAGCACACGUCUGGAGCACAGCAUCCAGAAUGAAUGUGUGUCCCUCACUGAAGCCACCACUGCAGCAGGUCGUAGCACAUGAGCUGCCAAAGGCUCCAGGAACUGCUUCUUGGCCUCCCACACCACCAGGAGAGGCCCAUAGGCAGGAUACCAGCACAGAGAAUCAUACCCUUUUGCUGCUUAACACCAUUCUUAUUGGAAAGGAUCUACCAGCUGUGCAAUAGUGAGACUGAAAUGAUGUGUUUGGCCCCCUCCCAGAGCUGCUUCCUGCCUGGCAAAGG